rnacentral:lncRNA from 1 species
UAAAACUUAAUUUGCACCAUUUAAAACUAUUUGAGACUUAAAUUACAACUUCGAAAAUAGUGUAAUUUCAACUCAAAGAGUGCAAUUUCUUCUUCUUUUACUUUGUUCUCUACUUCUUGGCCUUUUCUACAAUAACCAUGGCAUAUAAUGGCCUUCCAAGGAGAAGAAAAUUAUUUUUUUUCCCAUUUUCUUCUUUUUUUUCACCCUCUGCAUCCUUUUCUGCUAUCGUGCUCUCUUCUUCACCCUCUGUCGUAGCGGCAGCCGCAGCUGCAGCCACCAUCCCCAACCUGGUGCACUUUUCCUCUCCAUCGUCCUUAAAUUCUGCAACAUCUUUGUUGUCGUUUCCGUCCAGGACCACACCUUCAACAACAGCCUCACCUCCGCAAUAUAUACCAUAUCUAACCUUGUGUCGUUGCCGCCGACAUCAACAGAGAUGUCGGCAAGGUAGAAAACAGGGGCAUGGCAUCGACGUAGGGACAAUGGAGACGGAGGAUUAGGGAGAGGAAUCAAAAGGAGAAAAAGAGUAAGGAACACGAAGGAGGAGAAAGACAGAAAAGGCAGAGAAAAUUGAACGAGAGAGAGGAAAGAGAGAAAAAGAGGAAUAACGGUAUUUUGUUUACUAAAAAUUCAGACCUAAUUUAUAAAAUUCAAAAAAU